rnacentral:lncRNA from 1 species
CUCAGAGGGCGUCACCACUGGGCCGCUGGAGAAGGUUUAGCAGAGAAAGGGCUGAGAAGAAGAGGACUCUCCCUCUCUCCCAAGGCAGCCCUCGAGGUCCUUCCUUCCCCCUGGCAGGGUGGCUUCAUGGGAAGGGCCUUGACUUCCCGGAACUCCAGGCUCCCCAGAUCCAAGUGUGAGAGCGAAAGUAAGUCCUGCAGUCGGGGGGUUGGGGGGGCGUGUUCUCGGGGCUCCCCGGCUGUGGGGCCAGGCCACGCACCUCUCCUCCUUCAGGGACCAAAGCUGGGCUGAGACUACAGCUUAACCCACCGAUGGCAGCUGUAGAUGGACACAAUGACUUUAUUCUGCUUAUUUAUAUCUAUGUGGUGCUGAGACUCGAACCCAGGGCCUCGCACGUGCUAGGUGAGCGCUCUACCACUGGGCCCAGCCCCUGCCCCCAUAUUCUUUUUAAUACCGUGGAUACUCUUAACGCUGCCCAAGGAAGCAGGGAACUUGGGUCCCCUCCCCGCUGUUGCUGCCUGUGUGACGACUCGCUGUCCCCGCCCCUCCUGGGGACUCAGUCUCUCCAUCCGUCUGUGAGCAGUGUGGACGCGCUGCCUCCUACACAGGGGAACAUCAGUGUUGGCUGCAGGGCUCUUGCCAGUGUGGACGUCCAGGCUCCGUCCCCAGCCGUCCUGGCCAGCGGACCGGGAGCUGCCCCAGGGAUCUGCAUUAAAAGCAGCGUCUCCGUAGGUGGUUCUGACGCCCGAGCCCCGGGAGGGACCGCAGUUAGCAGAACCAGUCGGCAUCCCCAAGUGCUCAGCCCUCCUGAGCCCAGAGGGUGUUUUGGCAAAUGCAAGCCCCCGUCCCUCUGAGGUGCCACGUCCCUCUGAGGUGCUGCGUGGGUGGCUUCCACCCAGAUGGAGAUGCCACCGGCCACCCUGGCCGAGUCACUCCCCCUCUCAUGCUGUCUCUGCUCCUGUCCCUUGAUGGAUGGCCGGGAAGACAGGUCCACGGCCUUGGUGCUCGGCCUUGGAUGCUUUAUCUGCCUGGUCCCAGGCUGAGCAGCAGGACAGCUCCAUCCCCCCUAGCCCCCAUCCCUGCUUCCUGCCUCCCCUGCCACCUCUCUGAAGAACAGCUCUGCUGCAGCCACUGCGUCCUGACUGCAGGCGCUGUGUCCAGGACCCCUCCC